GCAUAUCAAUAAGCGGAGGAAAAGAAACCAACAGGGAUUACCUCAGUAACGGCGAGUGAAGCGGUAAAAGCUCAAAUUUGAAAUCUGGCUCUUUUAGAGUCCGAGUUGUAAUUUGUAGAAGAUGCUUCGGGUGUGGUUCCGGUCUAAGUUCCUUGGAACAGGACGUCAUAGAGGGUGAGAAUCCCGUAUGUGACUGGAUACCUAUGCUCAUGUGAAGCUCUUUCGACGAGUCGAGUUGUUUGGGAAUGCAGCUCAAAAUGGGUGGUAUAUUUCAUCUAAAGCUAAAUAUUGGCCAGAGACCGAUAGCGCACAAGUAGAGUGAUCGAAAGAUGAAAAGCACUUUGGAAAGAGAGUUAAACAGUACGUGAAAUUGUUGAAAGGGAAGCGCUUGCAAUCAGACUUGCACUUGGUGUUCAUCGGGGUUUCUACCCCGUGUACUUCAUCAAGUUCAGGCCAGCAUCAGUUUGGGUGGUUAGAUAAAGGCUUAGAGAAUGUGGCCCUCUUCGGGGGGUGUUAUAGCUCUAGGUGCAAUGUAGCCUACCUGGACUGAGGACCGCGCUUCGGCUAGGAUGCUGGCGUAAUGGUUGUAAGCGACCCGUCUUGAAACACGGACCAAGGAGUGUACCUAAUAUGCGAGUGUUUGGGUGUUAAACCCAUACGCGUAAUGAAAGUGAACGGAGGUGAGAGCCCUUAAGGGUGCAUCAUCGACCGAUCCUGAUGUCUUCGGAUGGAUUUGAGUAAGAGCAUAUUGGGUGCGACCCGAAAGAUGGUGAUCUAUACGUGAAUAGGGUGAAGCCAGAGGAAACUCUGGUGGAGGCUCGCAGCGGUUCUGACGUGCAAAUCGAUCGUCAAAUUUGCGUAUAGGGGCGAAAGACUAAUCGAACCAUCUAGUAGCUGGUUCCUGCGA
rnacentral:rRNA from 1 species